rnacentral:rRNA from 1 species
ACUGAAUAGAUACCCGGGUAGUCCCAGCUGUAAACGAUGCAGGCUAGGUGUUUGGACGGCCACGUGCCGUUCUAGUGCCGCAGGGAAGCUGUUAAGCCUGCCGCCUGGGGAGUACGAUCGCAAGAUUGAAACUUAAAGGAAUUGGCGGGGGAGCACCACAAGGGGUGAAGCUUGCGGUUUAAUUGGAGUCAACGCCGGAAAUCUCACCGGGAGCGACAGCAGUAUGAAAGCCAGAUUAAAGGUCUUGCUAGACGAGCUGAGAGGAGGUGCAUGGCCGUCGCCAGUUCGUGCCGUGAGGUGUCCUGUUAAGUCAGGCAACGAUCGAGACCCGCGUCCUCUGUUGCAACCAGUUUUGUGCUGGGCACACUGAGGAGACCGCCACUGAUAAAGUGGAGGAAGGAGCGGGCCACGGCAGGUCAGUAUGCCCCGGAAUCUCCCGGGCCACACGCGAGCUGCAAUGGCAGGUACAAUGGUUCCGACCUCGAAAGGGGUAAGGCAAUCUCGAAAGCCUGCCGUAGUUGGAAUCGAAGGC